UUUAACUGAGCGUUCAGUUACUUGACGUAGACCCGAAACCGGGCGACCUACCCAUGAGCAGGAUGAAGCGAAAGUAAAAUUUCGUGGAGGUCCGAACCCACGAGCGUUGAAAAGCUCGGGGAUGACUUGUGGGUAGCGGUGAAAUUCCAAUCGAGCCCGGAGAUAGCUGGUUCUCCCCGAAAUAGCUUUAGGGCUAGCCUCAAGGUGAGAGAUACGGAGGUAGAGCACUGAAUGUCCUAGGGGGUAUUGCACCUACCGAAGACUAUCAAACUCCGAAUGCCGUCAUCUUAUACUUGGGAGUCAGACUGUGGGUGAUAAGAUUCAUAGUCGAAAGGGCAACAGCCCAGAUCGUCAGCUAAGGUCCCUAAAUGUAAGUUAAGUGGUAAAGGAUGUGGGAUUGCACAGACAACCAGGAUGUUGGCUUAGAAGCAGCCACUCAUUCAAAGAGUGCGUAAUAGCUCACUGGUCGAGUGAUCCUGCGCCGAAGAUUUCCGGGGCUAAAACUUACUACCGAAGCUACGGCAUCAGUAAUGAUGGGUAGGGGAGCUUCCCAUACGGGUUGAAGCAUGACCGUAAGGACAUGUGGACAGUAUGGGAGUGAGAAUGUUGGCAUGAGUAGCGAGAUGUGGGUGAGAAUCCCACAGGCCGUAAACCCAAGGUUUCCAGGGGAAGGUUCGUCCGCCCUGGGUUAGUCGGGACCUAAGCUGAGGCCGAAAGGCGUAGGUGAUGGACAACAGGUUGAUAUUCCUGUACUACCGAUAACCGUUUGAGAGAAGGGAUGACACAGUAGGAUAAGCUA
rnacentral:rRNA from 1 species